rnacentral:rRNA from 1 species
AGUAAUGCUUGGGAAUCUAGCUUAUGGAGGGGGAUAGCUACGGGAAACUGUAGCUAAUACCGCGUAGUAUCGGAAGAUGAAAGUGUGGGACCUUCGGGCCACAUGCCAUAGGAUGAGCCCAAGUGGGAUUAGGUAGUUGGUGAGGUAAAGGCUCACCAAGCCGACGAUCUCUAGCUGGUCUGAGAGGAUGACCAGCCACACUGGGACUGAGACACGGCCCAG